AGUGAGUAUAAAAAAAAUACCAAAUUAUUAUUAUUUUUGUUUUUGUAGACGAAAUCUUUCUUAUAUGGCGGAAUAUAGAUCACUUACUAUACUUAUUCUCUCAAU